rnacentral:sRNA from 1 species
AAUCCCACUGCUAAAGGACAUAGGUCUUUCUUCAAACUAUAUUUUUGAGCGCGAUUCGCACUACGUCUGUCAGUGUCGAAUGCCUU